GACGAACGCUGGCGGCGUGCUUAACACAUGCAAGUCGAACGGAAAGGCCCUGCUUUUGUGGGGUGCUCGAGUGGCGAACGGGUGAGUAACACGUGAGUAACCUGCCCUUGACUUUGGGAUAACUUCAGGAAACUGGGGCUAAUACCGGAUAGGAGCUCCUGCUGCAUGGUGGGGGUUGGAAAGUUUCGGCGGUUGGGGAUGGACUCGCGGCUUAUCAGCUUGUUGGUGGGGUAGUGGCUUACCAAGGCUUUGACGGGUAGCCGGCCUGAGAGGGUGACCGGCCACAUUGGGACUGAGAUACGGCCCAGACGCAUACGGGGGGCAGCAGGGGGGAAUAUUGCACAAUGGGCGGAAGCCUGAUGCAGCAACGCCGGGUGCGGGAUGACGGCCUUCGGGUUGUAAACCGCUUUCGCCUGUGACGAAGCGUGAGUGACGGUAAUGGGUAAAGAAGCACCGGCUAACUACGUG
rnacentral:rRNA from 1 species